CCUACGGGAGGCAGCAGUGGGGAAUAUUGCACAAUGGGCGCAAGCCUGAUGCAGCGACGCCGCGUGCGGGAUGACGGCCUUCGGGUUGUAAACCGCUUUUGACUGGGAGCAAGCCCUUCGGGGUGAGUGUACCUUUCGAAUAAGCACCGGCUAACUACGUGCCAGCAGCCGCGGUAAUACGUAGGGUGCAAGCGUUAUCCGGAAUUAUUGGGCGUAAAGGGCUCGUAGGCGGUUCGUCGCGUCCGGUGUGAAAGUCCAUCGCUUAACGGUGGAUCCGCGCCGGGUACGGGCGGGCUUGAGUGCGGUAGGGGAGACUGGAAUUCCCGGUGUAACGGUGGAAUGUGUAGAUAUCGGGAAGAACACCAAUGGCGAAGGCAGGUCUCUGGGCCGUCACUGACGCUGAGGAGCGAAAGCGUGGGGAGCGAACAGGAUUAGAUACCCUGGUAGUCCACGCCGUAAACGGUGGAUGCUGGAUGUGGGGACCAUUCCACGGUCUCCGUGUCGGAGCCAACGCGUUAAGCAUCCCGCCUGGGGAGUACGGCCGCAAGGCUAAAACUCAAAGAAAUUGACGGGGGCCCGCACAAGCGGCGGAGCAUGCGGAUUAAUUCGAUGCAACGCGAAGAACCUUACCUGGGCUUGACAUGUUCCCGACAGCCGUAGAGAUACGGUCUCCCUUCGGGGCGGGUUCACAGGUGGUGCAUGGUCGUCGUCAGCUCGUGUCGUGAGAUGUUGGGUUAAGUCCCGCAACGAGCGCAACCCUCGCCCUGUGUUGCCAGCACGUCGUGGUGGGAACUCACGGGGGACCGCCGGGGUCAACUCGGAGGAAGGUGGGGAUGACGUCAGAUCAUCAUGCCCCUUACGUCCAGGGCUUCACGCAUGCUACAAUGGCCGGUACAACGGGAUGCGACACUGUGAGGUGGAGCGGAUCCCUUAAAACCGGUCUCAGUUCGGAUUGGAGUCUGCAACCCGACUCCAUGAAGGCGGAGUCGCUAGUAAUCGCGGAUCAGCAACGCCGCGGUGAAUGCGUUCCCGGGCCUUGUACACACCGCCCGUCAAGUCAUGAAAGUGGGUAGCACCCGAAGCCGGUGGCCCAACCUUUUGGGGGGAGCCGUCUAAGGUGAGACUCGUGAUUGGGACUAAGUCGUAACAAGGUAGCCGUACCGGAAGGUGCGGCUG
rnacentral:rRNA from 1 species